AAAACCAAUUUUUACCGGUUGACCUCGGAUCAGGUAGGGAUACCC
rnacentral:rRNA from 1 species